rnacentral:tRNA from 1 species
AAGUAUGAAAUGUAGUAGCUUUGCAAAAGCUGUUUAGAAUUUUUUUGGGAGUUCCAUACUUU